rnacentral:tRNA from 1 species
GGCAAGAUGGCCGAGCGGUCUAAGGCGCUAGACUCAAGAGAUUUCUAUUCUCUCUUAUGCUCUUCAAAGAGGUUGCAUUCUAGUCUCGAAAGAGGCGGGGGUUCGAAUCCCCCUCUUGUCA